UCCGAGUUGACCCCGGCAGUCUCCGAUGAGUCCCCGCCAUAACGCGCUGGCAACAUCGAACGAGGGUUGCGCUCGUUGCGGGACUUAACCCAACAUCUCACGACACGAGCUGACGACAGCCAUGCACCACCUGUGAUGGUGUCCCGAAGGAAAGGUGUGUUUCCACACCGGUCACCAACAUGUCAAGCCCAGGUAAGGCUCUUCGCGUUGCGUCGAAUUAAACCACAUGCUCCGCUGCUUGUGCGGGUCCCCGUCAAUUCCUUUGAGUUUUAGCCUUGCGGCCGUACUCCCCAGGCGGGGCACUUAAUGUGUUAGCGUCGGCACGGGAGGAGUCGACACUUAGUAUUCAUAGUUUAAGGCGUGGACUAC
rnacentral:misc_RNA from 1 species